UUUGUUUGAAUGUGAUAAACUUGUUGGUAGGGACAUCAGAGAGAUGAAUACCAACGUCUCUGAACAGGCUAU